rnacentral:rRNA from 1 species
GAUCAUUAUAAGAAGCCGAAAGGCUACUUCAAACCAUUGCGAACUCGUCCAAGUUGCUUCGGCGGCGUGGCACCCCCUAACGGGGGCGCCGCAGCCCUGCCUCUCCGGAGGUUCGGGGCGCCCGCCGGAGGUACGAAACUCUGUAUUAUAGUGGCAUCUCUGAGUGUAAAGCAAAUAAGUUAAAACUUUCAACAACGGAUCUCUUGGCUCUGGCAUCGAUGAAGAACGCAGCGAAAUGCGAUAAGUAAUGUGAAUUGCAGAAUUCAGUGAAUCAUCGAAUCUUUGAACGCACAUUGCGCCCGGUAGUACUCUACCGGGCAUGCCUGUUCGAGCGUCAUUUCAACCCUCAAGCUCUGCUUGGUGUUGGGGCCCUACGGCUGCCGUAGGCCCUGAAAGGAAGUGGCGGGCUCGCUACAACUCCGAGCGUAGUAAUUCAUUAUCUCGCUAGGGAGGUUGCGGCGUGCUCCUGCCGUUAAAGACCCAUCUUUAACCAAGGUGACCUCGGAUCAGGUAGG